CGCCGCGCUCCGGCUGCUGCCGCCGCUGCCCGCGAUGGAGGCCCUGCCCAAGGGGGGGCUGGGGGCUCUGGCCAAGCCCCGGCGCCCGGUGAUCGCCUGCAGCGUCUGCCAGAUCCGCUUCAACUCCGAGAGCCAGGCCGCCGCUCACUACCAGG